rnacentral:rRNA from 1 species
AUUGAACGCUGGCGGCAGGCUUAACACAUGCAAGUCGAGCGGUAGCACAGGGGAGCUUGCUCCCUGGGUGACGAGCGGCGGACGGGUGAGUAAUGUCUGGGAAACUGCCUGAUGGAGGGGGAUAACUACUGGAAACGGUAGCUAAUACCGCAUAACGUCGCAAGACCAAAGAGGGGGACCUUCGGGCCUCUUGCCAUCAGAUGUGCCCAGAUGGGAUUAGCUAGUAGGUGGGGUAAUGGCUCACCUAGGCGACGAUCCCUAGCUGGUCUGAGAGGAUGACCAGCCACACUGGAACUGAGACACGGUCCAGACUCCUACGGGAGGCAGCAGUGGGGAAUAUUGCACAAUGGGCGCAAGCCUGAUGCAGCCAUGCCGCGUGUGUGAAGAAGGCCUUCGGGUUGUAAAGCACUUUCAGCGAGGAGGAAGGUGGUGAGCUUAAUACGCUCAUCAAUUGACGUUACUCGCAGAAGGAGCACCGGCUAACUCCGUG